UUUACCUCUCAAAUCAGGUAGGAGUACCCGCUGAACUUAAGCAUAC
rnacentral:rRNA from 1 species